CUGACACAGGUGCUGCAUGGCUGUCGUCAGCUCGUGUCGUGAGAUGUUGGGUUAAGGUCCCGUAACGAGCGCAACCCUUGUCCUUAGUUACCAGCACGUUAUGGUGGGCACUCUAAGGAGACUGCCGGUGACAAACCGGAGGAAGGUGGGAUGACGUCAAGUCAUCAUGGCCCUUACGGCCUGGGCUACACACGUGCUACAAUGGUCGGUACAAAGGGUUGCCAAGCCGCGAGGUGGAGCUAAAUCCCAUAAAACCGAUCGUAGUCCGGAUCGCAGUCUGCAACUCGACUGCGUGAAGUCGGAAUCGCUAGUAAUCGUGAAUCAGAAUGUCACGGUGAAUACGUUCCCGGGCCUU
rnacentral:rRNA from 1 species